ensembl:lncRNA
ACGCAGGAGACCCUGGUUCAAUUCCUGGGUUGGGAAGAUCCGCUGGAGAAGGGGUACCACCUACUCCAGUAUCCUUGGGCUUCCCUUGUGGCUCGGCUGGUCUGGUGCCAGUGGUCCUGCUGUUCAGGAAUUGGUAACUGAAGGGCAAAAAGCAAGUUUUCUUACUUCCCACCUCUAGUAAGGAGACUAAUUCCAUUCAAAUUAAAAGUAUUAGAUCCUCUAUAAAUGGUCUCCAGUGGAAAAAAAAUGCCCACAGAGCAUUUCCCCUCUGAAUAUGGAAAGUGUUUAUGGCAGGCAUGUAAUUGGAACUGUCCCCCAGCAAGCCCCAUGCCAGAGACGGACCACGGAGACCACACGUGCGCACCCCGGGGCUGAGAAGAUGAGGUAGAGGACAGCAGCACCUUCAGUCGUCAGGGGGUCCCCGCCUACUGCUGCCAAGUCCAGCGUGUCACACUCCUGAAACUGGUCCCACGCUGGUGAGUGGACAGAGCGCUGGAAAGCGACAUUGGUAUGGUGCAAGGAAGAACAGCACUGAGAAAUCCAGGGCACGCCCACAGUGGCAAUCCCACACUCGGUCUGACGAUCCUACCUUCAGUGAUGGGUCUGAGGAAGAGCCAAUAGGACCAGCCUGACUCGCCAACAUAGAUUGAUUUCUAAAGUGCAUGCAGAAGUGGAGAGAGACAAGUAAGUGUUGACAAGGACACGCAGUAAUCAGAGCCCUCACACACCGAUGAUGGGGAAGUAAAGUCGUGCCAUUUUGGAAAACAAUCUGGCAGUUCCUGGAAAAGUUAAACAUAGAAUUACCGUGUGAUCCAGCAGUCCCACUCCUAGGUAUGUACCCAGGAGAAAUGAAAACAUAUGUCCACAAAAAUACAUACAGUCCUCCCAGGGUGUCUAUUCCUCAGGGGCUUUGUUCCAGGACCCCCGAAGACACCAAAAUCUGAGGAUGCCCAAGUGUCUUGAAUGAAGAGAAGGGUGAAGUCAGCCCUCGGAGUCCUUAGGAUAUGUGUGCACACAUUUUCAUAGCAGCAUUAUUGCUCCUAAAGGAAAUCAACCACGAAAUUCAUUGGAAGGACUGCUGCUGAAGCUGAAGCUCCAGUACUUUGGCCACUUGAUGCAAAGAGUGGACUCAUGGGAAAAGACCUUGAUGCUAGGAAAGACUGAAGGCAAAAGGAGAAGGGGGCGGCAGAGGAUGAGAUGGUUAGACAGCAUCACUGGCUCAAUGGACAUGAAUCUGAGCAAACUGCAGGAGAUAGUGGUGGACAGGAGCCUGCAGUCCACGGAGUCGCAAAGAGUCGGACACAACUUAGCGACUGAACAACAAUUAUUCAUAAAAGCCAAAAGGUGGAGACAAACCAAAUGUCCAUCAACCAAUGAAUGGAAAGUAAAUAUUCCAUGGCAGUGGGAUAUUACUGCCAUAGAAAGAAUGAAGUACUGAUUCACACUAUAAUACGAGUGUACCUUGAAAACUAUGCCAAGUGAAGUAAAUCAGUCACAAAGACCACAGUUUUAUCUCAUGAUUUCACUCGUAUGAAAUGUCCACAGUAGGCAAAUCCACAGAGACAGAACGUAGCUGCGCGGCUGGCCAGGGACCUUGGGGAAGAGACAUGGAGAGUCGCCGUUUAACGCCUAUAGAGUUUCUUUUUGGGGUGUUCAUGGUGUUGAACAUAGAUUGUGAUGGCUUUUCAGUACUGUGAAAAUAGUAAAAGUUGAUGAACUGUACACGUUCGGAAGUUUUUGGCUGUGCCUGCUUUCCGUUGCCGUGCGGGGACUUCUCUAGUCGCUGUGCUGGCUUAGCUGCUCCUUGGCUCGUGGGAUCUUAGUUCUGCCACCAGGGGUCAAACCUGCAC